rnacentral:tRNA from 1 species
GAUCGUUUAGCUCAGUUGGUUAGAGCGUGGUGCUAAUAACGCCAAGAUCGCGAGUUCGACCCUCGUAAUGAUCA